UUUUAUUUCUUUUACUUUUUUAAUAAUUUGAACUUUGACUUUGUUUUAUUAAUUUAUUAACAAAUUUUAAUUCAAAAUAAGUGAAUAUUAAUUCCAUAUCUGGCAACAGGUGGACUAGAUGUCUGGCGAAUAACACCUAAUAUAAAACACCUGUCACGGUGAUUGAAAAAAAUCAACAGCUAUCUCAUUAAAUGCAUGGCAAGUAAAAUAUAUCUUCUGGGGCCAAAAAUAGACCAGAAUUAUCUGCUACUUGAAUGUUUGGCAAAACUCUCCUAGAAAACUGAGUCUGAUGUUUGAUUUGUGUAAAGACUUCUUUAACUUUUCUAACUCAAUUUUUACUAAGUUACAGGACUACUCAGAUUUUGUUUCUUUUUUGCUCAAUUUUGGUCAAUUUUGUUUUUGUCUAUGUCACC
rnacentral:lncRNA from 1 species